rnacentral:tRNA from 1 species
GCCCUCGUAGUCCAACAGGGAGAGGCACCCGGUCGAGAGCCGGGAGGGUGCGGGUUCGAAUCCCGCCGAGGGCA